rnacentral:rRNA from 1 species
UACGUAGGUGGCAAGCGUUGUUCGGAAUUAUUGGGCGUAAAGGGCGCGUAGGCGGCAUGUUAAGUCGGCUGUGAAAGCCUGGGGCUCAACCCCAGAGGGUCGGCCGAUACUGGCAAGCUAGAGUACGGAAGAGGUAGCUGGAAUUCCCGGUGUAGCGGUGAAAUGCGUAGAUAUCAGGAGGAACACCGGUGGCGAAGGCGGGUCUCUGGGCCGAUAUUGACGCUGAGGAGCGAAAGCGUGGGGAGCAAACAGG